UAGACAUGAUUCAACUCUAUCACCUUUACGUGGUAAAAUUAUACAUUUUAUUUAUUUUAUUUAUUUAUUCUUUUAAAUCUCCAACCAAACAAGCGGUAAGAAUUUUCGAAAACAACUCCAAAACCACUUUUUCACAGACGGAAGGCCAAAACCAGUCUGGAACUCAGUUGCUGUCUUCAUCUCCAGCAGCCGUCCCGUCGUUGUCGUCGGAGUUCAUCUGUUAGCAUCGUGUCGGAGCCACCCCACGUGGGCGACAACUCUGUCCUGCUUCACCGUGAGUUUGCCUCUUGCCGCCGCCGACUCACCAUUCUUUCCAACGGGUUCAUGGUUGAUUUUCUUUUUUGAUGUUUUCUUCACCGGCGCUGGGUUGUUGCCAUAGCGCCGCUACCUUGCUGUUGGCAAGCUUGUGUCGCUGGUUUCCAGCUUCGUUUCUUGGCUUCGACUUGAUUUUGGUUGUUCAUCAUUAAUUGCAGGGGCAACUUUAUUUUGAUCCUGUCGGUCUUGCUGUUGUGGGCUUCACACGACAUUCAUUGCUUAGUGGUCGUCAUUGUUUCGUAGCUUGCAGCAUUAGCUUGAUAUUGUUUGGCUUGACUCCGACAUUUGUUUGAUGCCCUAAUUUCAGCAUUAUGCUUCUCAGACGAGAAGGCAUAUGAACAAAGAACAUCCGACCAACCUUGAGACUGCCUUCGCGUACCCCAACCGAACCAUGACAGAGCUGCUUGGAUACGUAACCACUAACAAGCAUAAGCUUAACAAGAGGAGGGUUCACGUGAUUGAUUACCUUAAGGGGUCCUUGGAAAGGUCGGUCGAGCAACAAGCUUGCAACAACACCAGUGCUUCUACUUUCGCUGUUGUUCGGUCAUCAAGUGGAACUACGAGGAGGACCCUUUUCCUGAUGAGCAAGAAGCCAUGACUCACCAAAAGCUUGACCUUGUAGCUCUAGUUUACAGCACAGACCCUGUUGCUGAAGUGGCUGCUGUGACUAUACAACUGGCCAAGCAAAGAGUCUCAGUUCCAAAGCAAUCUAUGUAGAUUACCGAGGAGGUUCUCAUUCCUAUUCUACCUACCACCACUCAAACUAAAGCACCGAAGGCAUCCAAGUGGAAGAGGGAUAAGGGAAAAGAUGUUGUUGAGGGCUUUGAGGAGCUGACUUUGGUUGAGGAGUGGCUGCCGCCUUUGGAGCAUGAGGGUCACCCUAUCACUAUGUCCGACAAUGUGACAGCUUCUCGUGAGUUGGCUUUCAAUCUAUUCAAGGUGUUACUUCUACCCUUAUGGUUGAGAGUAAUGUGGACUCUAAAUCCCUAAAAAUAGGGAUCCCUUUAGAUGGUGACCGUAUUUCAUGUUAUGGAGCAACGUCGUUUGGAGCAAAUAGUAGACUGUGACCAAACUACAAAGGUGCUAGUUGACGCUGACCUUGCUCUGAAGUCAACCGAGAAGGAGACCGUCGCUGCUAGGAUGUCAGCCAUUGCUUAGGAGAAGGUGGUGUUGGAGGCUGAGAGAGUUUCUAAGGUGGCUCUGGACACCAAGAAAGAGGUCGAAUAGGGAAGGACUGAAAUGGAGGUCGAGCUGGAGGCGAUGAAGGCUAACCAAGCUAAGCUUAUUAAAGAGGCCAACCAGAACAGUUGGGAUGAAGCUAAGGCGGAUUAUGCCCAACAGACGUUGGAGUUGAGAGAUGGUUUAUUUGUCAAGGGUUGGACAGAGGCCCUUCGUGGUACUGGGAUUGAGAAGACCUCUGCUCUUUUCAAGGACAUCCUUGUUUUGUCAAUAGUUGCUGCUGUAAGGGCUGCCAAAGCAAAUGAGGCAUCCUUAAAGGCUAAGACUUCGGAGGCCACCCCUUCCGUUUCUCCAUUUCCUUCGUCUGCCAAGCCUUAUACCGAACAAGCUAGAGCAGCCCCAAGAUAAGGACUAACAAUCUUCUUCUUCUUCUUCUUCUUCUUU